UACGUAGGGUGCGAGCGUUAAUCGGAAUUAUUGGGCGUAAAGUGUGCGUAGGUGGUCUGUUAAGACCGAUGUGAAAUCUUUGGGUUAAUUUGGGAACUGCAUUGUGACUGGUAGGCUUUGAGUGUGGCAGAGGGAGGUAGAAUUCCACGUGUAGCAGUGAAAUGCGUAGAGAUGUGGAGGAAUACCGAUGGCGAAGGCAGCCUCCUGGGCCAACACUGACGCUCAUGCACGAAAGCGUGGGGAGCAAACAGG
rnacentral:rRNA from 1 species